GGCUCACUGAAGCCUCCUCUUUCCGAAGCCUACGCCUCCCAGGUUAUGAACCAAGGAGAUGAAAGAUGCUGAUCAGUCAAUGAAAAAAAUUUAAAAACCACAUUACUAGUGCCUCUAAAGCCCUGCCAGCAUCUAUGCCCUGUGAUUCAACAUCACAAAGAGGGCUAGGAGAAGAAGAAAGUUAUUAAUUGGCAUUACUAUAAAAGCAUUCCAUCCUGAGAAGAGGUUCAUCACUGAAUGUGAAUUUCAUAGUCAUUAGCAGAAAAAGCCAGAGGGUAUGAGUUCAACACUCUGAGGUGGCUUGUUGAUCUGAUCAAAAUCAACUUUUCUGGAGUCCACAGAAAAUUAGACUUUUUGACAUUCUGCUGAAAGAGUCAUAUCCCAAAAAGGCUGGAUGGAGACCUGGUCAAUAAAUCACUUCUUCUCCCGCCCCUGACCUUCACACUGUUUAUGUCCUUCAGCCACUAUGACAGGGGACAUCGACCUUGAACCUAGUUGGCAACUCUAGCCUGUUUCCUCAUCUAUCAAAUGGGGUACAUUUUCUCUGCCUCCCUAACUGGUGGGAGCAUGGGUAGAGUCAUCUGGUCAACAGGUGAGAAAGUGUUUUGUAAAGCAGAAGGUGCUGGAUGUGUUCACACUUCACCACACACUCCUAAAGGAUCAUUAUUGUCCAUUUAACUGGAACCCAAAUGAAUACAUUGGGGAAAUUUUGCAGCCUUGUGGACUUGGCAGUUUGGAUCCAAUGUCAUGGAUGAUGUGGCUCAAAAGAAGUUUCUU
rnacentral:lncRNA from 10 species